CUUCAAAGUACAUUUUAUACUGAAUUUUCUUUCUCAAUCAAAAGUAAAGCCAUAUUAAUAUAUUGAGAGAGAGAAAGACAGAGAGAGAAAGAAAGAGAGAGAGAGAACUGACAAAAUAAUGAUCAAUCUUACUACUACAUUUCGAGGGAAACCAUCAAGAGAAGAAGAGAGGAAUGCGUGAAUUUCAUCAGAACAUCAAAGUGGGAAGGGAAGAGGGUAGAUGAAUGGGAAUGCCCAAUAAUAGGACCCUACUGAUACACCACCUGAGGCAACGUGUAACAGAAAGGCACUCUUAAGACGGCGGAGCAACACCACCAAUGACCACCACCGAGCCAAGACACACUGGGGCCGCACCCGGAACCCAAUGCACUGUCCCUUUCUCCCUAAUCGAACGCAUUUGCUCCGACGCCGCCUCUGUCGCAGCGGCCAUCUCGUGGAGCCAUGGUGCACCUGCCUCUCCUUGCUCAACAGCCACCACCACCACCACUCCACGCUCCUCAAUCUACUAGAAUUAACCAUCUACCACUACACUAGAGGUCUAGGAGGAGAUGGAAAGAGGGGAGCCUCCAACACUAGAUUAACCAAGGCAACUUAAUA
rnacentral:lncRNA from 1 species